AUCAUACUCAAAAAAAAGAGUUUGAUCCUGGCUCAGAAUGAACGCUAGCGAUAUGCUUAACACAUGCAAGUUGAACGUUGUUUUCGUUCCUAUGUGUUGGGGGUUGUAAAGGGGGGGGAAACCCCGUUCCCUCCUCCGAGCUGCUCAACUGGCUACGCCAGUUGAGCCUGCGGCCUCCGAUCGACCAUGAGAACCGUUGAAAACAAAGUGGCGAACGGGCGAGUAAUGUGUGGGAAUCUGCCAAACAGUUUGGGCUAAAUCCCGAAUAAACGAAAGCUAAAAGGCGCUGUUUGAUGAGCCUACAAAGCAUCAGGUAGUUGGUUGGGUAAGGGCUGACCAAGCCAACGACGCUUAGCGGGUCUGUUAGGACGAUCCGCCGCACUGGGACUGAGACACGGCCCAGACUCCCACGGGAGGCUGCAGUGGGGAAUCUUGGACAAUGGGCGAAAGCCUGAUCCAGCAAUAUGGCGUGAGUGAAGAAGGGCGAUGCAGCUUGUAAAGCUCUUCCGUCGAGUACGUGAUCAUGACAAGACUCGAAUAAGAAGCCCCGGCUAACUCCGUGCCAGCAGCCGCGGUAAGACGGGGGGGGCAAGUGUUAUUCGGAAUGACUAGGCGUAAAGGGCACGUAGGCGGUGGAUCCAGUUGAAAGUGAAAGUCGCCAGCUCAACUGGCGGAAUGCUUUCGGAACCGAUUUACUAGAGUAAGGCAUAGAGGAAAGCGGAAUUUCGUGUGUAGCGAUAAAAUGCAAAAAUAUACGAAGGAACGCCAAAAGCGAAGGCAGCUUUCCGGUUCUUUAACUGACGCUAAAGUGCGAAAGCAUGGGGAGCAAACAGGAUUAGAUACCCUGGUAGUCCAUGCUGUAAACGAUGAGUGUUCGUUCUUGGUCCACUGACAUCGCACUCCUUCGGUCUGACUUAAGCUCGGCUUAAUGCUUCAAUUACUGCAAAGGUAGUGCGACUCGAUUGUUUCGUUUUCUUCGAGUUCCAACAAUCGUGAGAAAUAUGUGAUGAUCAGGGGCUGAGCUAACGCGUUGAACACUCCGCCUGGGGAGUACGGUCGCAAGGCUGAAACUCAAAGGAAUUGACGGGGGCCUGCACAAGCGGUGGAGCAUGUGGUUUAAUUCGAUUCAACGCGCAAAACCUUACCAGCCCUUGACAUAUGAAUAAGUGUGCUUGUCCUUAACAGGAUGGUACGGAAAUUGAUACAGGUGUUGCAUGGCUGUCGUCAGCUCGUGUCUUGAGACGUUGGGUUAAGUCCUAUAACGAGCGCAACCCCCGUUUUGUGUUGCUAAGACAUGCUUUGGUUCAAUCCCUGACAACUGGAGACUGACGAAGACUACGCCGUGAAAAUGGAGGGGACCGACGAGCUAAGUUUUUGCAAACGCCGUGUGGCUCAUUCUGAGAGGAAUAUGACCAUACAAAGUUUCCAUACGGUACUUUCCGACGAACGAAGCUUCCAGAGCAUUGUACACUUCACACGGAGGAACUCAGUCUUAGUCAAAUUGACACUCCAAGCCAUGUGCUGCACUCACAAAAAACUGCCAGUGAUAUACCGGAGGAAGGUGGGGAUGACGUCAAGUCCGCAUGGCCCUUAUGGGCUGGGCUACACACGUGCUACAAUGGCAAUUACAAUCGGAAGCAAUGCUGUAAGGCGGAGCGAAUCCGGAAAGAUUGCCUAAGUUCGGAUUGUUCUCUGCAACUCGAGAACAUGAAGUUGGAAUCGCUAGUAAUCGCGGAUCAGCAUGCCGCGGUGAAUGAGUACUCGGGCCCUGUACAAACUGCCCGUCAAACCAUGGGAAUUGGUUUCGCCCGAAGCAGCCGACCAAGGAUCACCCAUUACUCGGGGUGUUCCACGCCGUUGUUGAGUGUGGUCUACUAGAGUCAUUGGUGAUCUUAUGUAGGAGACCAAGGUUGGGCCAUUGACUGAGGUUAAGUCGUAACAAGGUAGCCGCAGGGGAACCUGUGGCUGGAUUGACUCC
rnacentral:rRNA from 1 species